GCAUAUCAAUAAGCGGAGGAAAAGAAACCAACAGGGAUUACCUUAGUAACGGCGAGUGAAGCGGUAAAAGCUCAAAUUUGAAAUCUGGCUUAUGCCCGAAUUGUAAUUUGUAGAGGAAUGUUCGGCGACGUCUAGGUCUGAUUUUUUCUGGAAGGAAAAGCCACUGAGGGUGAGAGCCCCGUACGACUGAUGACUGAACCAUGUGUACAUCCUUCGAAGAGUCGAGUUGUUUGGGAAUGCAGCUCUAAACGGGUGGUAAAUUCCAUCUAAAGCUAAAUAUGGGCCAGAGACCGAUAGCGCACAAGUAGAGUGAUCGAAAGAUGAAAAGCACUUUGGAAAGAGAGUGAAACAGUACGUGAAAUUGUUGAAAGGGAAGCGCUAGCAACCAGACUUGAAAUUGACAUUCAGCAAUUCAUUGGAUUGUGUAUUUUGUCUAUUGCAGGCCAGCAUCAGUUGUUGCGGUUGGAAAAAAGCAUUGGUAAUGUGGCUCCUCGGAGUGUUAUAGACCUUUGCAGAAUACAGCCAGGGACGACUGAGGAACGCCUUUUGAAGGAUGCUGGCAUAAUGGUUGUUAGCGGCCCGUCUUGAAACACGGACCAAGGAGUCUAACAUCUGUGCGAGUGUUUGGGUGUUAAACCCGCUCGCGAAAUGAAAGUGAACGGAGGUGGGACCAUGUACUUGGGCACCAUCGACCGAUCCUGACGUUCUCUGAAGGAUUUGAGUAAGAGCACAGCUGUUGGGACCCGAAAGAUGAUGAACUAUGCGUGAAUAGGGGUGAAGCCAGAGGAAACUCUGGUGGAGGCUCGCAGCGGUUCUGACGUGCAAAUCGAUCGUCAAAUUUGCGUAUAGGGGCGAAAGACUUAUCGAAUCAUCUAGUAGCUGGAUGCAUGCGA
rnacentral:rRNA from 1 species